UGAUCAUGGCUCAGGAUGAACGCUGGCGGCGUGCCUAGCACAUGCAAGUCGAGCGUGAUUGCUAUGAGGUGAGACUUCGGUCAAAGCGAGUAGCAUGAAAGCGCGGACGGGUGAGUAACGCGUGGCAACCUGCCCCAUACACGGGAAUAGCCACUGGAAACGGUGAUUAAUGCCCGAUAAGACCACGGCACCUCAUGGUGAUGUGGCCAAAGAUUUAUCGGUAUGGGAUGGGCCCGCGUCUGAUUAGCUAGUUGGUGAGGUAACGGCUCACCAAGGCGACGAUCAGUAACCGACCUGAGAGGGCGGACGGUCACACUGGAACUGAGACACGGUCCAGACUCCUACGGGAGGCAGCAGUGGGGAAUAUUGCACAAUGGGCGCAAGCCUGAUGCAGCAACGCCGCGUGAGUGAAGAAGGCCUUCGGGUCGUAAAGCUCUGUCCUGUGGACGAAACAAAUGACGGUACCACAG
rnacentral:rRNA from 1 species